AUGCAAACUGCGAAUACCGGAGAAUGUUAUCACGGGAGACACACGGCGGGUGCUAACGUCCGUCGUGAAGAGGGAAACAACCCAGACCGCCAGCUAAGGUCCCAAAGUCAUGGUUAAGUGGGAAACGAUGUGGGAAGGCCCAGACAGCCAGGAUGUUGGCUUAGAAGCAGCCAUCAUUUAAAGAAAGCGUAAUAGCUCACUGGUCGAGUCGGCCUGCGCGGAAGAUGUAACGGGGCUAAACCAUGCACCGAAGCUGCGGCAGCGACACUGUGUGUUGUUGGGUAGGGGAGCGUUCUGUAAGCCUGUGAAGGUGGCCUGUGAGGGUUGCUGGAGGUAUCAGAAGUGCGAAUGCUGACAUAAGUAACGAUAAAGCGGGUGAAAAGCCCGCUCGCCGGAAGACCAAGGGUUCCUGUCCAACGUUAAUCGGGGCAGGGUGAGUCGACCCCUAAGGCGAGGCCGAAAGGCGUAGUCGAUGGGAAACGGGUUAAUAUUCCCGUACUUGGUGUUACUGCGAAGGGGGGACGGAGAAGGCUAUGUUGGCCGGGCGACGGUUGUCCCGGUUUAAGCGUGUAGGUGUGUGUUCCAGGUAAAUCCGGUUCACUUUAACACUGAGGCGUGACGACGAGGCACUACGGUGCUGAAGCAACAAAUGCCCUGCUUCCAGGAAAAGCCUCUAAGCAUCAGGUAACAUCAAAUCGUACCCCAAACCGACACAGGUGGUCAGGUAGAGAAUACCAAGGCGCUUGAGAGAACUCGGGUGAAGGAACUAGGCAAAAUGGUGCCGUAACUUCGGGAGAAGGCACGCUGACACGUAGGUGAAGUGAUUUACUCAUGGAGCUGAAGUCAGUCGAAGAUACCAGCUGGCUGCAACUGUUUAUUAAAAACACAGCACUGUGCAAACA
rnacentral:rRNA from 1 species